rnacentral:lncRNA from 1 species
AUAGAAGGGAUCUCCUGAUUGGGUUAGGAGGUCUCUACGGUGCAACCAACCUUGCCAAUGACCCAUUUGCAUUGGCAGCACCCAUAGCCGCCCCUGACCUGACCCUUUGCGGCAAUGCAGUAAUAUCUGAAACUACGGGUGAGACUACCUAUUGCUGCCCACCAACAACGACAACGAUCACAGAUUACAAACCACCUUCAUUUUCCAAGCUACGUUAUAGGCCUCCCGCACAUUUAGUUGAUGCUGACUACUUAGCUAAAUUUACCAAGGCCAUGAAUCUCAUGAAAGAGCUUCCUUCUGAUGAUCCACGUAGUUUCAUGCAACAAGCAUAUGUUCAUUGUGCCUAUUGCAACGGAGCUUAUGAUCAAGUAGGUUUCCCCGAUCAAGAUCUUCAAGUUCAUUUCUCAUGGCUCUUUUUCCCAUUCCAUAGGUGGUAUCUUUAUUUCUAUGAAAGGAUUUUGGGCAAGUUGAUUGGUGACCCAGAUUUCGUCAUGCCAUUUUGGAACUGGGAUGCCCCUGCAGGCAUGCCUAUACCAGCCAUAUAUGUAAACCCUCAGUCUCCACUUUAUGAUGACAAACGCAAUGUUAACCAUCAGCCACCAAAACUGGCUGAUCUUGAUUACAAUGGCACUGAUAAAGAUAUAACAGACGCAGAGCAAAUAGCAAUUAAUCUCAAGCUCAUGUACAAGCAGAUGGUGUCUAAUGCAACAACCGCUACUCUUUUCCAUGGAAAGCCGUACCGUGCUGGUGAUGCCGGCAGUCCAGGAGGGGGUUCCGUCGAGCUCGGUUGUCAUACCGCGAUUCACAGGUGGGUUGGAGACCCGAGACAAACCUAUAAUGAAGACAUGGGAAAUUUCUAUUCCGCAGGCAGAGACCCGGUGUUCUACGCUCAUCACGGCAAUGUUGACCGAAUGUGGUCGAUUUGGAAGACAUUACCAGGAACGAAGCGAAAUGAUUUCAGUGACACAGAUUGGCUUGACGCCUCGUUUGUUUUUUACGAUGAGAAUGCGAAUCUUGUUCGUGUUAAGGUUCGUGAUUGCGUUGACAGUAAAAAUUUGGGAUACGAUUAUCAACCAGUCGACAUUCCGUGGCUUAAAACUAAGCCAACUGCUCGAAAGUUUGCCAAGAAAGGAGGAAAGGCUCGUGGUAGUGCAAUGGCAGCCGAAAUAAAGAGCAAAAACGUUGUACGCAAUGCAUUCCCGAUCGUUUUAGACAAAACAGUGAGCAUUGAGAUUCCAAGGCCAAGGAAAUCGAGGAGUAAACGUGAAAAAGAAGAAGACGAAGAAGUACUGGUGCUAGAAGGCAUUCAAUUAGCGACACAAGCUGCAGUGAAAUUUGAUAUUUACAUUAACGACGAGGAUGAUGAGGCACCUAGUGGACCGGAAGAUGCAGAGUUUGCAGGGAGCUUUACCAAUAUUCCUCAUAGCCAUACCCAUGCGAAGAAAUUGAACACAACUUUUUCUUUGGCAAUAUCAGAUGUGUUGGAGGAUUUGGAUGUUGAAGGUGAUGAUAAUAUUGUGGUGACUUUGGUGCCUCGAGAAGGGAAGGGUCUGGUUUCGGUCGGCAACAUCAAGGUUGACUAUAUCCGAGAAUGAUCGGUUUGUUGUUUCCUUUGUUUCCUUUGCUUCCCUAGCUUCUUUGGGGAAAUGUGUUCCUUUUAUCCUUGUGUUCGUCAGAUCGAUCCAAUCGAUCACUUGUUCCCUUGUUUUAUGUAUUAGUAUGUGUCUAAGUAUAAAUAAGGCCAUUAAGUCUAUGACCAUAGAAGUGAUAGAACCUUAUAUGGCAUGUUAUUUGUGAGGAGACCUAUUUAGAUUUUAUGUUGGCCUUCUCAUGUAUGUAUGUUGUGCAUGGAUUUUAAAAAUAAAUUUCUUAAUUAUUAUUUAAAAGCGUACUUGAAUAUUCUAGAUAUUACUCAUUAAAUUCCUAUACCCAUUAAAUAACUGAUUAAAAUUAAUUAAAAAUCAAUUUUUAUGUAUUUUAUUAAUGAAAAUUAAAUUAAUAAAUCAGUUAGUUUAUAAUAAAAUAAAUCAAAAUUUCAAAUCAUAUUUAAGACAAAUUAAGGAAUUAUAAUAAGUAUUAUAUUGAUUAUAAAAAAUUUAUAAAAUAAUAUAUAUAACUAAAAUUUAAUUUUAAAAAUCGUUAUUUGUAAUCGAGUUCCAGUAGUGGUCCUAAGGCCAAGAUCUGAACCUUACUCGGACCUCUUGACGAAUAGUAAUUUUACUAUUUGAAUUUUAUUUGAACUCGAUUAUAGAGUAUUUUAAUCUUAAAUAUUUCAUCGAGGUUAAGUAAUGUAGUUAUUUGAUUAUAAAAUACCCAUUAAAGCCCCUAAAAUCAAGGUUAUAAGAUAAGAAGGGAAACGUGAGAUUGUUGAAAUCUUAACUUGUGAUCAAUGGAUAUCAUCCUAAUAUUUAUAUAUUAGGUGCAUGAAACAUAGAAUUCCAUAAAGAUCCUUAAUGGGUAAUAUAAUAUAAGUACAAAGUGAAUUACAAUUGUAUUUUUGCAUUGUUUUAUCACAACAAGAAAGAGCAGUACUGCACUUAAGGGUUUAAAUAAGCAAGGCCUCAAACUAAUUGAGCUUCUAUCAUUUUGAAGCUUGCCAAGUCUCAAGAAAGUAUGGAGCAGGUCUUUUUCCUUAGAUUGAUGUAGACACUAAAAAAUAAAUAAAAUAUAUAAAUAAUUAAAAAAAAAGGGUACUGGCAGGGCAUGAACACCCCUGCCAGUACUCGUACUACCACCACUACAGUGCCAGACAUGAAAAACUCUCGUCUGGCAGAGUAGUGGAGCGUGCCCCCUCCAAAGGCUAAGAACCGGGUAUAAACGGGAGGGGGCACUGUAGCAAUCGGGAGGAACCUGCAAGCAAAAAAACAAGCAAUCAAAAAAAAUCCUAGCCUCUAGUAGCCGAAUACCACAACCAAAUCUUCUUUACUCUUUUAAUAGCCAAAAUCAACCACAGAAAAAUAAAAAAAAAAUAUACCAAACAAUACCCAAAAAAUACAAAAAAUGUGUGUAGUGAGAAUGCCGCUGACUGGGGAGUAGGUAGAGAGAGAGAGUUAGGGCUCGGACGAUUGUCGACUAGGGAGAAACCCGAUCGGUGCCAAGGAGGAAAGCCGACAAAGCAAAGAGAGAGAGAGAAGAGAGUAAUCAGCGCCAAAGAAAGGAAAAUGAGGUAGAUCCGAUCAUUCGAGUCUCGUUGCCAACGACGGCAGGAAGCCCCACUAGCUGUCGGCGCAAGGAAGAGAGGGGAGAAACUCGAUCGGUGUCAAGGAAAAAGGCCGACGAAAGGAAAGAGAAUGGAGAGGGGAAGAAGUCCCCAAGUCGGCGCCAAUGAGAAAGAAAAGAGAGAAUGAAAGGUUUGAUUUUUUUUAGAGAGAAGGCAGAGCAUCUACCUUUAGAGAGAGAAAUGAGUGGAGAAAAUGGGGAAAGGCCAAAAAAAGAGGGAUUAUAUAGGGUAGGUAGAGGUAAAACGGCACCGUUUCGAGAUGGUAGGAUCAGGUGGCUUAAAAGCUGUGGAACGACACCGUUUGGUGCUCCAGAAUGUGUGUUUAGGAUAAGUUGUUUGGACCCAGGCCAGAUCAGAGGGGAGCCAAAGCCCAACGGCGCUUAAACCCACUUUGAGCUGUGGGUUAGUUUCAACCCAAUAGGUAAUGGAUGUGCUCACUGAAUAGUGAUUUGGGCUUGAACUGUUGAUGAUGGGAAAUGAUAUUUUUUUUAUUAUUUGUUAUUCAUGAUAGUGUUAUUAUUUUUUUGAAUUAUAUACAUAAGAAAUAUGAAAUAUAUGGAAGAAAAAAUGUGAAAGUCUUUAGUAUAAUAGAUAGUAAAUUUUAGGGAGUUCAAAAUAUAUACGUAUAUGAAAUAAUAAAUAUAGUAAAUGGUUAGGAAAUUAUAGGAAUAUGUUUAAGUUAGUCAUGUAAAUAUAUUAAAUGUUUUAUAGUAAAAUUAGAUCCAAGUAAGAAAAUGUAUGUAUGGAUACAUAAUAUAUAUACAUAUAAGCUUAGAUGAUUAUUUAGUUUAUAAGUAAGAGUUUUUGCUAAAUAGAGUAUGCACACAAAUAGAAAAAGAAUCUAUAAAUAAAAUAUUAUGGUGAUGAUAUAUUUAGUUAAGAGAAGAAUACCAAAAAUAAUUAAUCAAAACCGAUGAUGGGAUGGUCGGUCGGAACGCGAGAAGUCGCAAUCUCAGGUCCAUAUUCCCUAGGUUCGAAAUUCGAAUCAAGGCUCCGCCAGUACGAUGGGAGGGCCUCGAUUUCAAGAUUCUGAAAUUCUUAAUAAAUAAAGAAUUUGACUAUACAAAAAUUACUCAAUAAAAUAAUAAAUAAACAAACAAAUAAUAUAAUAUAUAUAUAUAUAAAUAAAAAAAUAAAAAAUGAUGAAUGAAUAGGAAGNCAUUAAAUAAAUAGACAAUCAGUAUAAACUAUCAACAAGGAAAUUUCAAAACAAUAAAUAAUUUAAAAAUUAAACAUUAAAUAUCUAGUGGUAUAAACUAUAGAUUAAUAAAAUGUUAUGUAAAAGAAAUAAAAUAGAAAGUAAAAAAAUGAAAUUAAACAUAGGUAUAAAACUUUAGGCAUUAGGUUUGAAUAAAAUGUUGCUUAUAAAAAAAUAAUAAUAAGAAAAAAUAGAAAAAAUAUGAUAAUAAAAAAUAAAAAAAUAAUUAAAUAUUAAUAAAUGACCAAAAAUAGAUAAUUGUAUUAGCAUAGUAUAUAUAUAUUGCAUCAUAUCAUCGCAUAUAAAUAUUUUUGUUUUCGAGUUUAAGCCCCGAUGAUGGGAUCUUUCAAGGAUCUUGCGAAGGCGGAUAUUUUUCGAAAAGUUCCUUAGGUGAAAAGGUAUCCUCGGGUCCCACCAGUAUGAUGGGCGGGCUCGAGAAAUAUCUUUAAUAAAAGGCUUUGACUCGUAUUAGGUUCAUUAUGCAUGAAAACAUUAUUUUUAAAGAAAAACGUACAAUAACCUCGAUGACGGGAAUUAUUCGUUGAAUUUACGAAUACGAAUUUCUCGGAUAAUUCUCUAAGUGAGAGAAUACCCUGAAUCCCACCAGUAUAAUGGGUGGAUCCGAGAAAAUAUCCUCGAUAAAAAGUUAUUCGUCCGACAUAUUUUUAUCUCACGCCAUACAUUUCAUCUUGUCUCACAUUUGCAUUCCAUUUUAGGUUGAAUAGGAGAUAAAACAAGUGAACAAUACCUAAGGAAAUAUAGCGAACUUAAAAAUUAAAGUCUAAUAGGAUAAUUUAAGAAUGGUACCGUUCAUGGAACGGGCGUCCUAGGGGUGUUAAUUCUUCCCCGGGUGUAACCAUACUUUCGAGCCUAGAUCUAGAAAACUGUAGACCAGUUUAAGGUUUUUCUCGGUGGGCUUAAAGUUAAUUUAAGGUUUCAUCGAUUAGAAUCGAGUCAAUAGGUGGCCAAUCGCACCUAGUAAAAAAGAUUGAUGACGACUCUUAGUUUUUUUGAAUUUUCGCAUCGCGUCUAGCGGUCAGAUUCUCAGACUCGCAAGUUAUGACAAUUAGCCCAAAAAGAGCUAAGCUUAAAAUCUGAUUUGAGAGUUUGGGUCCAAGGUGUGGAGCUGGUGGUUCAAGCCCAAAAGCCCCUAGUUUACAUCAGGUGAGUUUUUUUUCUUCUGCAAUAGUAUGUAGGCUAGCUCUUUAUAUAUAUAUAAAUAAAAUGAUUACAUCAUUUUAGGUCAGUUUAUUUUAAAUUUAUCUGCAAAAAUUUAACGUAAAAUUCCGGAUAGAGGAAGAUCAAAAUUAUGAAGGCCUUUGAAACCCUGGAACUAAAUGGAAAAUACACAUGUUCGAAGAUGAGAUGUCAAUAAAUAAGAUAUCUUCUACAUUUUUAAAUAUCUUAAUUUAAAUCUUAUUUUUUAUAAAAUAUUCAAAUCUUAUAAAUAUUUAAUUAAAAUUUUAAAUUACCUUGAGAAUCUAUAUCCGAGUAUCAUAAACACUACUCAUUUAAUACCCAAUUAAAAUAAAUUUAGAAUUAUUUAAAUAUAUUAUUAAUAAAAAUUAAAUUAAUAAAUUAAAAUUACUUAAUAAAAAAUUAAUUAAAAUUUAAAGUCGUCUUUUUAGAAUGAUUAAUAAAUUUUAGUGAGCAAUACAUUAAUUAUAAGAAAUUUGUAAACAAAAGUUAAUAUAUAUAAAUACAACUAACAUUUAAUAUUAAAACUCAUUAUUUAGAAUUAAAUUUAAAUAAUGGAUAUGUUAAAACCACUAUUCAAAUUUUUCUCGAAUCCGUGAUAAAUAAUAAUUUUACUAUCCAAACCUUACAUGAAUCCGAAGAUAAGAUAUUUUAAAUUUAUUUAAUUAAAUCGAGGAAUACAAGUAAUCGAUUAUAAAAUAUCCAUUGAAAUCUGUUACGAAAUGUAUUUCUUUUUUUGUCUUUUCUUCUUUUUGGAUGAAAUUUAAUUCUCAAGGAGUAAGGUAGGUAAGUGUCUAAAUUUAAGCGUCGGCAUCGACACUAAAUUUCAACGUAGAGAGCCAUUAUUUUGGAAACCAACCCUACAACGACCACAUUGAUUGCUACCCAUAAAUAUUGCUCAGGCCGUACACGUUACUUGAUGAUUUUUUAUCGUGUGGUAAUGGCAGGAGGGGAAUUAAUGUUAUACAUAUAGAUAUGUUGAUCCAUUUGUUAAUUGAUUUUCUUCUUCUUUAAAGACUUGUUUGCUUGUCUAUAAAAUAAAAUAUUUAUUUAUUCAUACAUUUUCUUUUGGUUAUCAUUUACUUUUAAACACACAUUUACCAUUAUUAUUAGUAUGUGUAAAUUUGAAUACAUUAUCUCUCGACUAAAUUCGAAGUUUCAUAUUUAUCAGUUUAUGUUUUUUCUUUUGUACAAUUUUAUCGUUUUAUUGUAAUUUUUUUUAUACAAUUGUUAUCAGCUAUGAAGGGAGAUAUAGAUUAUUCCAUCAAAAACUUCAUCAUGUUUAAUAGGGUUUUUCACUUACGAAUGCAAUUGGCAUCCUUUCUUUAUAACUUUUUAAGAUAAAUAAUGCUUUGAUCGCUUAGUUUUUCAAAAUCUUUUGUUUUAAUCAAUCAACUUUAAAAAAAUAAAAUUUUGAUUAUUAAUAUUUAUAAAACUUGUUUGGAUUACUCAAUUAUUGCAAGUAAUAAUUGUCCGUCUGACAUGACAUUUUCAAUCUUAUCUUAUCUGCAACGUCUAUACAGCUCAUCUGACAUGAUACCAAAAUGGACCAAGAUCCAUUGAAGUGAAAGCCACAUUCAUUUCAAUGGCAAACUGUACAAUUGUUACAUGGAAAGGGCACCACGUAGCGAAGACAGCACAAAAUCUGCCACAGAACCUACCAGCAACCUGUUGUCUACGAUCCAGUGUAAAAUAUGACCUUCAACGUGCACCACUCCAGAACAGGACAUUAAAUGCCAGCAACGUCUCAACAGUUUAACUUAGCACCACACAACACAUAUUAGACAAAGCGACAAAAGUUUUUAUUUUUAUAAAUAUUAAGUAAUCAAAACGAUAUUUUUAAAAAAAUUUAAGUAACCAAAUGGGUAAUAUACUCAUGUCUUUAUGACUUCUCGUAACUCCUAUUACUUAAUUUGUAGUUGGUAAUUUAUUGGAACAUUGCUUUCCUCCUUUAAGAAUCUUUUCUGGGUUUAAAAGUUGAUCAUAUCCAUGUGAAAAUUUUAAGUUAUUUUUGUUAUGGGCAACCUUGUUUUACCAAUAAAUAGCUGCAAAUAGGUAUGGGUUUUUGCAUGUUUUGAGGAUGAUUGAGUAUUGACACAGGAACAAAGAAAGACCUUUCAUUUGGUAAGUCUGAAGGUAUAUGAAUCAUCUUUACUAAUAUGGAAAGAGAGUACUGUAUAUAUAUAUAUAUGUGACUCAACCAGAAAUCUGUAAUUGGAUCCCACUUGAUCCUGAUUCUUUAUCAAAAUUUUAAAAAAAGUUAUCCAUAUGUUCCACGUAGAGAAAAUCAAUUUUGCCAUUUUAACAAAGGACAACCGGUGGCCCUGCUUCGUCAACUUAAUCCGUCAAGUGGUUGAGAAAAUAAGUGCACAUUAUUAGUGACGAAGGAUCCAAACUCCAUUGAAUUCACUAUAAAUGCCAUGCCAAAGUGUUUCCAUAUUCAUCAAAGCUGUAGUACCACUAAAAUCCAGCCAUGGCUUUUCCUGUCCUUUUAUCGUCAAACCCAUCAUUGUCCCCAGCUUAUCCAUUCAGACUUCCUUCUUUCCAAAAACAUCUCAACUUUCUUUAAAUGAGAAGAUAAAAAAGCCUCACUACUCCGUCCCUAAUAAAGUAGUGUCAUGCAAAGCCGCGAAUUAUGGGAACCAAAACCCUACUCCUAGUUCCAGAAAAACGAAUGAGACUACCUAUAGCAGCCCACCAACAACGACAAAGAUCGUAGAUUUCAAACUACCUUCAUUUUCCAAGCUACGUUAUAGGCGUCCUGCACAUUUAGUUGAUGCUGACUACGUAGCUGAAUUUACCAAGGCCGUGAAUCUCAUGAAAGAUCUUCCUCCUGAUGAUCCACGUAGUUUCAUGCAACAGGCAAAUGUUUAUCGUGCCUAUUGCAACGGAGCUUAUGAUCAAGUAGGUUUCCCGGAUCAAGAUCUUCAAAUCCAUUUCUCAUCGCUCUUUUUCCCAUUUCAUAGGCUGUAUCUUUAUUUCUAUGAAAGGAUUUUGGGCAAGUUGAUUGGUGACCCAGAUUUCGCCAUGCCAUUUUGGAACUGGGAUGCCCCUGCAGGCAUGUCUAUACCUGCCAUAUAUGUAAACCCUCAAUCUCUACUCUACGAUGACAAGCGCAAUGUUAGCCAUCAGCCACCAAAACUGGUUGAUCUUGAUUACAAUGGCACUGAUAAAGAGAUAACAGACAAAGAGCUAGUACUAAGUAAUCUCAAGGUCAUGUACAGGCAAAUGGUGUCUGGUGCAAAGACCGCUUCUCUUUUCCAUGGAAAGGUGUACCGUGCUGGUGAUAAACCCAUUCCAGGAGCGGGUUCCAUCGAGGCUGGUUGUUAUACCGCGAUUCGCAUGUGGGUUGAAGACCAGAAACAAGAAUAUGAGGAAGACAUGGGAAAUUUCUAUUCCUCAGGCAGAGAUGUGAUGUUCUACGGUCUUCACGCCAAUGUUGACCGAAUGUGGUCGGUUUGGGAGAAGACCUUGGGGCAAAAUAAUUUCAAUGACGCAGAACGGCUUAAUGCCACGUUUUAUUUUUACGAUGAGAAUGCGAAUCUUGUUCGUGCUAAGGUUCGUGAUUGCCUUGACAAUAAAACUUUGGGAUACGAUUAUGAACCAGUUGAAAUGCCAUGGCGUCUAACUAAGCCAGUUACUCGAAAGCUUGGCAAGAAAGGAGGAAGGGGUCAUGGUCAUGCAAUGGCAGCCGAAAUAAAGAACAAAAACAUUAUACGCAAUGCAUUCCCGAUAGUUUUAGACAAAACAUUGAGCAUUGAGAUUCCAAGGCCAAGAAAAUCGAGGAGUAAACGUGAAAAAGAAGAAGAAGAAGAAGUAUUGGUGCUAGAAAGCAUUCAGUUAGAGAGGGAUGCUUCAGUGAAAUUUGAUGUGUACAUUAACGAUGAGGAUGACGAGGCACCUAGUGGACCAGAAGAUGCAGAGUUUGCAGGGAGCUUUACCAAUAUUCCUCAUAACCAUAAGCACGCCAAGAAGUUGGAGACAAGUUUUUCUUUGGCAAUAUCAGAUUUGCUGGAGGAUUUGGAUGUUGAAGGUGAUGAUAAUAUUGUGGUGACUUUGGUGCCUCGAAGAGGGAAGGGUCUUGUUACGGUCGGCAACAUCAAGAUUAAUUAUAUCCGAGAAUGAUCAGUUUGCGGCUUCUUUCCUUGCUUCCCUAUCUACUUCAGAGAAAUGUUUUCCUUUGAUCCUUGCGUUCUUCGGAUCGAUCCAAUCGAUCAAUUAUUCCCUUGUUUUAUAUGUUAAUAUGUCUCAAGUAUACAUAAUGCCAUUAAGUCUACGACCAUAGAACCUUAUAUGGCACGUUCUCAGUAAGUAGACCUGUUUAGAUUUUAUGUUCGACCUUGUCAUCAUGCAUGUAUUUUAUGAAUGUAUUUAAAAAAUUUGAGUAGGUUUUUCAAUUAUUAUUUGAACAUGUAUCUAGAUACCACUUUAAAUUCUUAUUCUCAUUAAAUAAUUAAUUAAAAUUUAUUGAAAAUCAAAUUUUACCCAUUUUAUUAUUGAAAACAAAAUUAUUAAAUUGAAGUUAAAACAUAAUUAUUAAAAUAAAAUCAAGAUUUAAAAUCAUAAUUAGAACAAUUAAUGAAUUUUAGUAAGUAAUACAUUAAUUGUAAAGAAUUUAUAAAUAAAAAUAAUAUACAUAAAACUAAAAUUUAAUAUUAAAAAUCAUUAUUUAUAAUCAAAUUUGAAUAAUAAUUCUUAAAAUCACUAUAACCUUACUCUUACCCCUUAAUGUGUAGUAGUUUUAUUCUCCACAUCUUAUUAGAACUCAAUUAUAAAAUAUUUUAAUUUUAAUUAUUUAUUCUAAUCGAGUAACAUAAUGUAUCUGAUUAUAAAGUAAUCACUGAUGUCCCUACAAUCAAGAUUAUAGGAUAAGAUUUUUGGAUGAAAUUCAAGUCCCAAGUGCUAAGGUUCGGUAACCGUGUAAAUUUAAGUGCCGGCAGCAACAGCAAUUCCAAUGUAGAGAGCCUUUAAUUUGGUCACUAACUAUGGAACUUCAACUACCCAUGGCUAGGCUGUCGUCACCUAUGAAUGAAGAUAAAAUAUCUCAAUAGAUAAUUCAUCCUUUAUUAUUUUUUUAGAUAAAUUACAUAUUUUGUUACUUAAUUUUUUGAGAAUUUUUAUUUUUUUCACUCCAUUCUAAAAAAAUAUGUUUUAGUUUUUAAUAUUUAUAAAAUUAUUGAUUUUUUCACCUGAUCAUUAUAAAUAUUAAUUAACAAUUGUUUGAUAUGAAUUUUCAAAUCAAUUGACUUUGGUAAUGUGAUAUGUUCGUACCAAUUCAUUUGUUAGAUAACCAAAAUCAAACUGAGUCAAACGUUAUCAUACAAUAGUUAAUGUUUAAUAUUUUAAUCAUUAAAAUAUUAGUUUUUUAUACUAUUAAUGAUUAAAACGUGAUUUUUCAGAAUUUCCUAAUCAAAACAUGAAUAAUUUAGUCAUUUCCUUAUAACUUUUCUCACACUUCCUAUUUGUAAUUUGUAAUUUCUUAAGAUAUUGUUUUUCUCCUUUAAUUAAGAAUCUUUUCCAAGUAUAAAAACCGAACAUUUCUAUCUAAAAAUUGUAAGUUUUUUUUUUUUUUUGUUGCGGCCAAUCCCAUAUUACCAAUAAAUUGCAGAAAACUGAUCUGGGUUUUUGCAUAUUUAGAAGAUGAUUGAGUAUUGAAAGAGGAAAAACAAAACACCCUUCUUUUUCAGUGCAGAAAUAAGGGAAGCUGAGUAGCUGACUCACAUACUUACGAAGAUAAAAUUGCCAUGACAGGACAGAAAAAAAUUAAGUAAAAUAAAAGGUUUGAUCAUUUUCCUUAGGUGUAAUUUGAUUAUAAAUUAUGGACUAAUCACAUCCAAACACGUUUAUGAUUGGAAAUUUGGAAUCCAACUAAAAUGAUUGGAGCCCAACUCAUUUUUUCACCAUUAGGAAUAAUAAAUGAACAUGCAUGAUCGACGUGCCCUUUUCUCCUCCUUUAAUUUCUUUGAUGAGUGUGAAAGGAACAUUUCAUUUGCUUUGAAUCGAGCUGUUCAGGACAAAACUUUUUCUGGACAAUAGCUGAUCAUUCAUGUUCUCUUUUCCAUUAUUAUCUUGUUAAUUAUUCAUCGAAACAAUUGAUUAUGAGAUCUAGUACUAUUGGUUAAUGGCAUUUAGUUCAACAUUUCAACCAAGCAAGCUUUGGUUCUCAAAGAAAACAAUAAGGUAAUCAAAUCAAUAGUCAGUUUUCCAUUUCAAAUCUUUACCAUGAUUGUUUUUGUUGACGUCCCUAAACUUGUGGGGUCCAAAUAUCAUGUAAUGACUUAAAUGACUGAGCAGGCCACUCACCUACCCCUCCCAUUUCGAUAAGGAAGUAUAUAUAUAUAUAUAACACUGAGCCCUGCAACAGGGUUUUGCCCGAAUCCAAAUCAAUUAUCAAAGACCUUUUUUUUUAUACGUGGUCUUUCCGUGUGCCACGUGAUCAACUGGUACCCCAUUUUCACGUUUGAGAGUGGAGACACAUCACGGGCUCUACGUUCAAUGAAUCAAUCAGUACUCUUUCAAUUUCAUUUCCAAGAAAAUAAUGCUUGAUAGUAAAAAUAAUAUUAAUUAAAUUAAUUAUUGAUAUUAAGCACAUUAGGAUUUUUUACUGUUUAAUAUAUUAGUUUUUUAAAUGGUGAGAUUUUAAUUGUUUUAUCCAGACAAGAAAGGGAUAUAGUCUUAAGCCAUAAUCCGACCUGUAUAAGAUUUAUGAUUUUUUACGCAAGCUUACACUUUAAGUCCAAAUUUAAUAAGGCAAACACAAUUUAUUAGAUUAAAUUAUGGAAUAUAUAAACUUAGUUCAUUUAUUUAAUUAAAAAAUAAAGUAUAAUGUUUAAAAAAAAUUCGAAUUAUUCAAAAAAUUUUAAAUAAAAUUUUAUUUUUUUAUUUAAUUUAAUAAAAUUAUUUUUAUACUUUUAUUUUAAAUUAAAUAAAAUUUUAUAAUUAAUAAUUGACUGAAUCUCAUUAAUGAAAAUAUCAAUUGUUAUUUUAUAUCCAUUUUCUGUUGAUGUGAUAUUAAUAUGAAGAGUUAAAAAUAUUAUAUAAUCAUAUUAUUUUAUCAAAUUAUCGUAUCAUAUCAUCAUAUAUUAUGACAUUUCAACGUAUCACGUUAAUUAUUAUCACUUUAAUAUCAUGUCGUAUAAAAGAAUAAGUGAUAUUUUAAUUAAUUUAAUUAUAAUUAUAAAAAUUUAUUUAAUUUAAAAUAAAAAUAUCAAAAUUUUAUUUAACGUAAUGAAUAUAUAAAAAUUUUAAUUAAAAUUUUUUAAAAGCAAUAAUAAAAAAAUUCAAUCGUGCAGGUAAGUUGGUCCAGAUUUCUUUAAGAGCACAGCAUGUGAAAUGGCUGGAAAAGAUAUCAGUUUUUCUAUUGUUAAAAGAUAACAUCUACGACAAAGACGAAUCUCAAUAAUAAUUUCUUUUGGCAUUUUAGAAAGGGUAAAUAAUCUUUUACUGGCGGCUCUGAUUUUGUCAAAUUUAAUCAAUCAAGUGGGUAAGAAAAUAAAUGCACGUUAACAAUGACCAAACCGCAUUGAAUUCUCUAUAAAGUCCAUGGGAAAGUGCCUUUACCUUCAUCGAGACUGUAGUAACACCCAAAUCUAGCCAUGGCUUCUCCUGUUCUCCCCUUAUCAACCCAAACCAUUAUCUCCAACUCCUCCAUUCAAACUUCCUUCUUUCCGAAAACAUCUCAAUUUUCCUUGAAUAAGAAGAUCACAAAGCCUGACUGCUCUAACCCAAACAGAGUAGUGUCCUGCAAAGCCACCAACGAUGGGAACAAAGGAGACUCUUCUCCCAACAGGUUUGAUAGAAGGGAUCUCCUAAUUGGGUUAGGAGGUCUCUACGGUGCAACCAACCUUUCCAAUGAUCCGUUUGCAUUAGCAGCUCCUACUGCCGCUCCUGAUCUAACCCUUGGCGGUGAUGCAAUAAUUUCUGAUAAAAAGAAGGAGACUAAAUAUCGAAAGUUUGCCAAGAAAGGGGGAAGUGGUCAUGGUCAUGCUAUGGCAGCCGAGACAAAGAAGAAAAACGUUAUACGCAGUGUCUUCCCGAUAGUUUUAGACAAAAUAGUGACCGUUGAGAUUCCAAGGCCUAAGAAAUCAAGGACCAAGCUUGAAAAAGAUGAAGAAGAAGAAGUAUUGGUGCUAGAAAGCAUUCAAUUACGCACAGAUACUCCGGUGAAAUUUGAUGUUUACAUUAACGAUGAGGAUGAUGAGGCACCUAGUGGACCAGAAAAUUCAGAGUUUGCAGGGAGCUUUACCAAUAUUCCUCAUAACCAUAAGCACGCCAAGAAGUUGGAGACAAGUUAUUCUUUGGCAAUUUCAGAUUUGUUGGAGGAUUUGGAUGUUGAAGGUGAUGAUAACAUUGUGGUGACUUUAGUGCCUAGAGAAGGGAAGGGUCUUGUUUCGGUCGGCAACAUCAAGAUUGACUAUAUCCGAGAAUGAUCGGUUCGUUCCUUCUCUAUCUACUUUAGGGAAAUGUUUUCCUUGAUCCUUAGUGCUUCUUGAGAUCGAUCCAAUCGGUCACCUGUUCCCUUGUUUUGUUUUUGUGAAAGGAUUCUGGGCAAGUUGAUUGGUGACCCAGACUUCGCCAUGCCAUUUUGGAAUUGGGAUGCCCUUACGGGCAUGCCUAUACCUGCCAUCUAUGUAAACCCUUAGUCUCCACUCUACAGUGACAAGCGUAUGCUAGCCAUCAGCCACCAAAGGUUGCUAAUCUUGAUUACAAUGUCCCUAUAAUAAAGAGAUUACAGAUAAAGAGCAAGAAAUAGUUAAUCUCAAGGCCAUGUACAGACAGAGUGAUCGUAUUCAGGAAUGAUCAGUUUGUUGCUUAUUUCCUUGCUUCCGUAUCUACUUUAGGGCAUGUUUUCCUUUGAUCCUUGUGUUCUUCAGAUCGAUCUAAUCGAUCACUUGUUCCCUUGUUUCAUAUAUCAAUAUGUUUCCAAGUAUAAAUAAUGCCAUUAAGUCUACGACCAUAGAACCUUGUAUGGCAUCUUCUCAAUAAGGAGACUUGUUUAGAUUUUAUGUUUGGCCUUGUCAUCCAUGUAUUUUGUUUCAAUUAUUAUUUGAAUCCGUACUUACACACCACUUGUUGCAUUCUUAUCCUUAAUAAAUAACUAAUUAAAAUUUAUUGAAAAUCAAUUUUUAUACAUUUUAUUGAUGAAAACUAAAUUAAUAAAUUAAAGUUAAAACUUAGAAAAGUAAAUCAAAAUUAGAACAAUUAAUGAAUUUUAAUAAGUAAUACAUUAAUUGUAAAGAAUCUAUAAAUAAAAAAUAUAUAUAAAACUAAAAUUUAAUAUUAAAAAUCAUUAGUUAUAAUCGAAUUCGAAUAGUUGUUUUUAAUAUCACUAUCUCAACCUUACUCGCACUCUUUGGCAAAUAAUAAUUUUAUUAUUUAAUUUUUAUCUGAACAAUAUUAUAAAAUAUUUUAAUUUUAAUUAUUUAAUCUAAUCAAGUAAUAUAAUGUAUCCGAUUAUAAAGUAAUCAUUGACGUAAGAAGGCAAGAAAGAGAUUGUUGGAAUUUUAAGUUGUGAUCAAAGGAUAUCAUCCUAAUAUUUAUAUAUUAGGUGCGUGAAACAUAGAAUUCUAUAUAGAUCCGUCAUGGUUAUUACAAGUACAAAGUGUACUACAAAAUGUACUUCGCAUAUAGUUUUCUCACAAAAAGAAAGAGCUGUACUGCACAAAAGGGUUUAUAUAAGAAAUGCCUCAAACUAAUUGAGCCUAUAUCAUUUUGAAGCUUGUCAACUUUUCACUCCAUCUCAAGAAAUUAUGGAGCACGUUUUCUGUCCAUAGAUAGGCCCAGAAUGGGCUAGGCUUUCAAGUCUGGUUGGGGAGUUUGGUCUAUGGGCUCAAAAUUGGGUCCAAGGUCUGGAGCUGGUGGUCCAAGCCUAAAGGCCCUAGUUUUCAUCAGGUGAGUUUCUGCUUGUGCAAUUGUAUGCUGGCUAACCCUUUGAAUACUUUUUGAUCUAAGAUAGCGUUUAGUAUAAAGAAAGUGAAAAUAUAUUUUUUAUAACGUGUUUAAUUAAAUUAUAUUAUAAUAUUUAUUUUAUAAUAAAUUACUAUAAUGUAAGAUUGUAACAUAAUCACGUUAUAGUUAAAGGAUCUAAUGUGAUCGUAGUUCAAAAUUAACGCAAUCACAUUACAUUAUACUUUAUAAUAUUAUUAAAAAUAUUUUUACUCUUCAACUUUAUUACAUUGUUAAAAAUAUUUUAUAAUGUUAUAAUUAAAAUAAAAUAUAUAAUAUAGAAAUUAGAAAUUAAAAUAAAUUAAAAUAUAAGANAAUUAAAAAAUUGAAAAAAAAAAAAAUAAUAAAAUCAAUAAUAAAAAAUAAAAAAUAAAAUAUAUGACAUUAAAAAUAUAUUUAAGAGAUGAUAUGAUAUAAAAAUUAAUAAUAAAAAAUAUAAAUAUAUUAAACUUAUAUUUUAAUAAUUAGAGAUAAUUUUAAAAAUUGAUAUUAUAUUUUUAAUAAAAUAUUUAUAAAUCAAAUGUUAUAAUAUUAUUUUUUUUACAAUUAUAUUACUUGUAUUAUAAAAUACCCAACAUAACCUAAAUAGUAAAUUUACAUGCACAAAGUACUCAAGUCUUUUUGUUUGCUUUUUGGAUGAAAUUCAAAGCCUCAAGGGCUAAGGUUCGGUAAGUGUGUAAAUUUAAUUGUCGGCAGCUACAGCAAUUUCAAUGUAUAGAGCCUUUAUUUUGGCAACUGGCUAUGGAACUUCAACGACCCCAUUGAUUGCUACCCAUUACUAUUGCUCCGGCUGUAGUCACCUAUGAAUGGAGAUAACAUAUUUCAAUGGAUAAUUCACGCUUUAUUAUUUUUUAAAGAUAAACUACAUAUUUUGUUACUUAAGUUUUCGAACAUUUUUAUUUUUAUCACUUAAUUUUAUAAAAUUACGUUUUAGUUACUAAUAUUUAUAAAAUUAUUGAUUUUUAUCACUCAACUGCUAUAAACUUUUUUUUGGUCAAUAGGAAUGCAAGGCAAUAAUUGAAACAUAGAUUUACAGAAUCUCUCUGCUGCAGCCUCAACCACCCCAAUCAAGUACAAUUUUAAAGAAAAUGAGUCUCAACACUGUCGAAACCAUCAUAAAAAUAAUUUUUAUUCCCAAAACCAUAUCACUUUUUCGCAUCAACUAUUUGAUCAUAUGAUAUGAUCAUACCAACUCAUCUAUCAUGGAAUCAAAAUCAACUGAAAAAAAAAAGUUAUCAGAGAAUCGUUAGUUUUUAGUAUGUUAAUGAUUAAAAUAUUAAUUUUUACAUACUAUUAAUGAUUAAAACGUGAGUUUUCAAACUUUAAUGAUCAAAACAUGAAUAAUUUAAUCAUUUUCUUAUAAUCUCUCAUAAUUUUUAUUUGUUAAUUUGUAUUUUGUAAUUUCUCAAUACAUUGUUAAUUUAAGUUAAUUUUAAGUUAAAAGCCAAUCAUUUUAUAUGUGACAAUUUUAAGUUUAUUUGUUUUUUGUGACGGGCAAUCCUGUUUUACCAAUAAAUUGUGGAAAAAUGAUAUGAGUUCUUGCCUUUUUAGAGGGAUGAUUGAGUAUUGAGAGAGAAAAAAAGCAACACCGUUCUUUUUCAGUGCUGAAAAAAGGGCAGCUGACUCACAGACUGUCAAAGUUAAAGCUGCCAUGACAUGACAGGAAAAAAGUAAAAAAAUAAGUAAAAUAGUGAGUUUGAUCCUUUUCCUUAGGUGUAAUUUGAUUAUAAAUUAUGGACCGAUCACAUUCAAAUACGUUUAUGAUUGGAAUUUUGAAUUUAACUAAAAUGAUUGGAGUCCGACUCAUUUUUGCACCACUAGGCAUAAUAAAAGAACAUGCAUGAUCAACGUGGGAGGAAAGUGUUUCCCCUUUUUCUCCUCCUUUGAUUACUUUGAUGAAUGUGAAAGGAACAUUUCAUUUGCUUUGAAUCGAGCUGUUCAGGACAAAACUUUUUCUGGACAGUAGCUGAUCAUUCAUGUUCUCUCUUCCAUUAUUUUCUUGUGAAUUAUUCAUGGAAAUUGAUUUUGAGAUCUGGUACUAUUGGUAAAUGGCAUUUACCUCUACAUUUCAAUCAAGCAAGUUUGGUUCUCAAAGAAAACAAUAAGGUAAUCUAGCUUUGGGUUGAGUUACAUUGAUUACAUUCAUCCCCACUGGAAACCUAGUUCUCUAUAUGGUGUGGACUAAUGAAGGGCCAGUGGGCAAAUCACUCUUCAUUGAUUGGCAUAAGACGCGGGGAACCAAAUCUGAGGGAGGAUUCAAAGUCUCUAAUAAUAGCAUGCAGAGGGUCCAGCUCUGAGUUGUCGUGUCGUUUUCUCCUUAUAAAUUCCUACCUAACUCGGUAGCAAAAAAAAUUUUAAUUAGCUACAUGUGCUUGUCUAGUAUAGUAGUAGAGGAAUCUAAUCCAUUUCGAUGUUGACAAAAAGACAAGCGAUUGCACAAAUUUUGUAUUGAUCUUCUCCAUCUGCAGCUCCAUCCAGAGAUCUGCCACACCCAUGCCGGAAGAGACAUUAAUGGCGAAGAAGAUAAAAUUAAUUAAGCAGAAGAUGCAGACAACCAGCCCACCCCAGUUGGAUUUAAAACAGGUAGUGGCAUUUUUAUUAUUAAUGUGACCUGUCCAACCACAUGGCAGACUUAUUAAAAUAUAAUAUUUUCGAUAUUAAAACUUAUUAAAAUAUAUGUUUUUUGGAGAAUCACAUGGUAGAUUUUAAAGUAAGAUAAUACUUCCAAUAGAGGAAUAUAUUUUAUGUAUAUCUAUAUCAAGAAAGCUUCACCAUAUCGAUUUUCUAAGGAUUUAAUCUUUGAAAAAUCUAUUAGCAUGAACCGACAGUGGUAUCAUAUUAUUUUGAAAAUCUGCACCCACACGUUUUUAUAUAUAUAGAAUAAAGGCACAUGGUUUGUUCCAGAAAUCAAUAAGAUCGAUCCGUUUGAAAUGUAGGAAAAAGUUUUCCCGAGAAAGUUUUUCAAUAUUUAUUCAUAUUUAAAAAGAAAAAAAAUGUAAAAAUGAAUAUAAAAAAAUUUUUGAGUUAGAAAAAUUGUCUUGCAUUUUUUUUAAAAAUAAGAUAAUUUCUCAAAAACAAAACCUUCACCUUUCCCUUCUGUUCUUCCUCAAUCUUCAAGUAAAAUAGUUUCCACAGAAAAUCUUUUUUUUUGGUAAGUUAAUUUCUGAGUUAGAAACGAAACCGAAGAAGAGAAACAACAUUGAAACUCUAGGAGUAUGCAUGUGAAAAAUUAGUUAGGCUUUAUUGUCAAAAUAGGCAGCCGAAAUUAGCACCAUUAUUUGUACUUUUAUACAUCCUAAAGCUUAUAGAUGAUCAUUAUGUAAAUACAUAAUGAAGUUAAUACGAGUGUACUUCGUAUCUAACUAAAUAAUUAAAUGCAGCAAAGUAAGGUAGUUAUAAAGUAAAUUCGACCGAAAAAAGAAGGACUAAAUAGUAAAUUUUUCAUUUAAAAAAUAAAUGGUACAUAUUUGGUUUGAGUCUCACCAUGGUCAUUAAUAUUUAACUAAAUAAUAAGUUUUUCAUUCUAAAUUUAAUAGAAAUGUAAUGCAACAACAAUUAAACGUAGCGAAUUAAGGUAUUUACACAGUAAAUUCGACCAAUAAAAAAUCAAAUAAAUAGUAAGUUUUACAUUUCAAAUCUUUACCAUGAUUUGUUUACGGUGACGUCCCCGCACCUGUGGGGUCGAAAUAUCAUGUUAUGACCAAAAUAACUGAGCUGGCAACUCACCUACCCCUCCCAUUUCGAGAAGGAAAUAAAUAAACAAAUAUAUAAAGUAACUAGUUUUGAACAUUUAAUAAAAGAUAAGGCAAGUCGUGGGCGAUCUCGGGUUUCCACACCCGCCCCAACGGGCGCUUUCGAUUAUCGGAUUAGCAGAACCCCAACUCCCACCAUUUAUUAGUAUUUUUUUGGAAAAAAGCACGUUUUCUGUUGGCUCAGUUUUGUUCAAGAAUAGACAACCUUGGAACAGGGUUUUGCCCAAAUCUGUAUCAAUUAUCAAAGACUUUUUUUUUCCGUGGUUUGUCAGUGUGCCAUGUGAUCAAAUGGUACCCAUUUUUGACGUUUGAGAGUGGAGACAUAUCUCGGGCUCUACGUUCAAAGAAUCAUAUCCACUACUCUUUUAAUUUCAUUUUCAAGAAAAUAAUAAUAGUACUUUCUGCUAAAUUUUAUGUCCUAUAGAAUCCAAUGCAUGAAUAUGUUUUGAGAAUAAAAAUAUUCCUGAUCAGAUUAAUUGUUAAUAUUUAGUACUUUAAGAUUUUUUUUGUUUAAUCUAACAAGCGAGAGACUUAAUCUUAAGUCAUAAUCUUAUUGUUAUAAGAUUUAUAAUUUUUUACACAAGCUUACACUCUUAAGUCCACGUUUAAUAAGUCUAACACAAUCUAUUAAAUUAAAUUAUGGAUUAUAUAAACUUAGCUCCUUUUUUUUAUAUAAAAAACAUAAUACUCAAAAAAAUUCUUUAACUGUUUAAGAAAAUUCAGAUAAACUUUUUAUGAUUAAUGAUUGAUUUAUUAUCAUUAAUCAAAAUGUCCAUUAUUAUUUUAUGUUCAUAUGGUGUUAACGUAAUAUUGAUGUGAAGAGUAAAAAAAUGUUAUAUCAUCAUGUCAUUAUACCACAUUAAUAUGUCAUGUCUUCAUAUAUUAAUGAAAUAUUUAAAUAAGCAUUGAAAUUGGCUUAGGAUGUUAGUGUCGGUCAUUGCCAUGUGGUAUAUAUAAAAUGACAAUGAUAUUUUGAUUAAGUCAAGUAUUAAUUAUAAAAAUUUAUUUGACUUAAAAUAAAAAUAUAAUGAUUUAUUUUUUACUCAAAAUAAAAAAUACAAGUAUUUGAUUGAAUAUAAAAAAAAUAUAAAAUUUUUUAAAAUUUUUUUGAAUAAUUUAAAAUUUUUUAAAUAUUAUAUCAAAAAAUAAAAUAAAAUAAAUAACAUAAGCCCACACUUUAUCAUUUGAAAAAAAUAAAAUUAUUAAUAUUACCUUUCCGUACUUAGUGGCAAAAUUUUAUGAUAUUUUAUGAUGAAUUUCAUCGCCAAACGUAUAGAUCCAUUCACAAAAAGUUUGCACUCUAUUAUAAUCAAUUGUUAUGUAAUAUGAUUUAGUAAUUAUCACGUAUAAUAGUGAACGUUUUGAAAUUAAAACAAUAAUAAAAAAAAUUCAAUAGUGCAUGUUUUAAGUUGGUCCAGAUUCCUUUAAGAGGGUAGCAUGUGAAAUUGCUGGAAAACAUUCAGUUUUUCUAUUAUUAAAAUAUAACUUCUUCGAUAGUGACGAAACUCAAUAAUAAUUUCUUUUUUGUCAACUUUUGCCAACAGAUUACUUUAACUUUUGAUAACAAUUAAUUUCGUAUAGUGUGAAGAUCAGCCAUGUGAUUUAAGUCUUCUUUACUAGUGUACAAAAAAACUACUGUAAAGAAUGCUGUCCAAAUGUUCCACGAGGAGAAAAUAUCUUACGGCAUUUUAGAAAGGACAAAGAAUCUUUCACCGGUGGCUUUUUUAUUGUCAAAUUUAAUCAAUCAAAUGGCUAAGAAAAUAAAUGCAUGAUAAUAAUGGCGAAGGAUCCAAACCCCAUUGAAUUCCCUAUAAAUUCCAUGCAAAAGUGUUGUCGAUCUCAUCAAAACUGUAGUACCAUCAAAUUCUAGCUAUGGCUUCUCCUGUCCUGCCGUCAUCAACCCCAACCACUAUUUCCAGCUCCCCCAUUCAAACUUCCUUCUUUCCAAAAACAUCUCAACUUUUCUUGAAUAAGAAGAUCAAAAAGCCAGACUACUCCGGCCCAAGUAAAGUAGUGUCAUGCAAAGCCACGAACAAUGGGAGCAAAGGAGACUCUUCUCUCAACAGGUUUGAUAGAAGGGAUCUCCUGAUUGGGCUAGGAGGUCUCUACGGGGCAACCAACCUUUCCAAUGACCCAUUUGCAUUAGCAGCACCUAUUGCCGCUCCUGAUUUGACCCUUUGCGGUGAUGCAACAAUAUCAGACACAACAAAAGAGACAGUCUAUUGCUGCCCACCAGAAACGACAAAGGUCAUAGAUUUCAAACCACCUACAUAUUCCAAGAUACGCUAUAGGUCUGCUGCACAUUUAGUUGAUCCUGACUACUUGGCUAAAUUUACCAAGGCCAUGGAGCUCAUGAGAGCUCUUCCUGAUGAUGAUCCACGUAGUUUCAAGCAACAAGCAAAUAUUCAUUGUGCCUAUUGUAACGGGGCUUAUGAUCAAGUAGGGUUUGAUCAAGAUAUUCAAGUUCAUUUCUCGUGGCUCUUUUUCCCAUUCCAUAGGUUGUAUCUUUAUUUCUAUGAAAGGAUUUUGGGCAAGCUGAUUGGUGACCCGGAUUUCGCCAUGCCAUUUUGGAACUGGGAUGCCCCUGCAGGCAUGCCCAUACCUGCCAUAUAUGUAAACCCUAACUCUCCACUCUACGAUGACAAGCGCAAUGUUAACCAUCAGCCACCAAAGGUCGCUGAUCUUGAUUACAAUGGCACUGAUAAAGAUAUAACAGACACAGCAAUGGUACAAAGUAAUCUCAAGGUCAUGUACAAGCAGAUGGUGUCUGGUUCAAAGACGGCUUCUCUUUUCCAUGGAAAGGUGUACCGUGCUGGCGAUAAACCCAGUCCAGGAGGGGGUGUUGUCGAGCUCGGUUCUCAUACCGCGAUUCACAGGUGGUGUGGAGACCCGAGACAAACAUAUUCGGAAGACAUGGGAAAUUUCUAUUCCGCAGGCAGAGACCCACUGUUUUAUGCUCACCACUCCAAUGUUGACCGAAUGUGGUCGAUUUGGAAGGGGUUACCAGGAAAGAAGCGAAAUGAUUUCACUGACACAGAUUGGCUUGAUGCCUCGUUUGUUUUUUACGAUGAGAAUGCGAAUCUUGUUCGUGCCAGGGUUCGUGAUUGCCUUGACACUAGAACUUUGGGGUACGAUUAUCAAGGAGUUGAUGUUCCAUGGCUUAAAACUAAGCCAGUUCCUCGUAAGUUUUCCAAGAAAGGGGGAAAGGGUCAUGGUCAGGCAGUGGCAGCCGAGACAAAGAACAAAAACGUUAUACGUAAUGCGUUCCCGAUAGUUUUAGACAAAAUAGUGAGCAUUGAGAUUCCAAGGCCAAAGAAAUCAAGGACUAAGCUUGAAAAAGAAGAAGAAGAAGAAGUAUUGGUGCUGGAAAGCAUUCAGUUAGACACAUCUACUCCGGUGAAAUUUGAUAUUUACAUUAAUGAUGAGGAUGAUGAGGCACCUAGUGGACCAGAAGAUUCAGAGUUUGCAGGGAGCUUUACCAAUGUGCCCCAUAACCAUAGCCAUUCGAAGAAGUUGGAGACAAGUUUUUCUUUGGCAAUAUCAGAGGUGUUGGAGGAUUUGGAUGUUGAAGGUGAUGAUAACAUUGUCGUGACUUUGGUGCCUAGAGAAGGGAAGGG